rnacentral:rRNA from 1 species
UACGUAGGGUGCAAGCGUUAAUCGGAAUUACUGGGCGUAAAGCGUGCGCAGGCGGUUUUGUAAGUCUGUCGUGAAAUCCCCCGGGCUCAACCUGGGAAUUGCGAUGGAGACUGCAAGGCUGGAAUCUGGCAGAGGGGGGUAGAAUUCCACGUGUAGCAGUGAAAUGCGUAGAGAUGUGGAGGAACACCGAUGGCGAAGGCAGCCCCCUGGGUCAAGAUUGACGCUCAUGCACGAAAGCGUGGGGAGCAAACAGG